GGGAAGGGUGUGCGUAUGUGUGUUAUCCUAUUGGCCAACAGCUUACAAAAUUUGGGUCUAGAGGUGGUUUAGAGUGAAUUCUAGGCCUCUAGCCACCCUCCUUAUUUACUAAUUUAUUUUUACUUACUAAUUUACUACUUAGCUAAUCUUUAUUGUCAAUUACAAGGUACUCUGUUUGGUUUUUAAGAUAUUAUCCCAUCAGUCUCUAUAUUGAUUCUAUGCAAUGAGUGUUCAGUUUUUAAAAUCAACCUUAAAGAACUCUUGAAAGAAUAAAAAGAGGAGUAAGUGUCCAGUUUGAGGGCCGGGCACCGUGGCUCAUGCCUGUAAUUCUAGGACUUUGGGAGGCCAAGGCAGGCGGAUCGCUCAAGUCCAGGAGUUUGAGACCAACCUGGGCAACAUGGUGAAAGCCCAUCUCCACUAAAAGCA
rnacentral:lncRNA from 1 species